AGAGUUUGAUCAUGGCUCAGGACGAACGCUGGCGGCGUGCUUAACACAUGCAAGUCGAGGGGGCGGGCUUCGGCCCGUCACCGGCGAACGGGUGCGUAACACGUGAGCGACCUGCCCGCUUGUGGGGGAUAGCCGGCCCAACGGCCGGGUAAUACCGCAUACGCUCUUCUCGGGGCAUCCCCUGGAGAGGAAAGAUUUAUCGCAGGCGGAGGGGCUCGCGGCCUAUCAGCUAGUUGGCGGGGUAACGGCCCACCAAGGCGACGACGGGUAGCUGGUCUGAGAGGAUGGCCAGCCACAUUGGGACUGAGAGACGGCCCAGACUCCUACGGGAGGCAGCAGUGGGGAAUCUUGCGCAAUGGCCGCAAGGCUGACGCAGCGACGCCGCGUGGGGGAGGAAGGGCUUCGGCUCGUAAACCCCUGUUGCCCGGGACGAACAGCCCUAUUCGUGGGGCCUGACGGUACCGGGUGAGGAAGCACCGGCUAACUCCGUGCCAGCAGCCGCGGUAAUACGGAGGGUGCGAGCGUUGUCCGGAAUCACUGGGCGUAAAGGGCGCGUAGGCGGCACGUCAAGCGCGUGGUGAAAGCCCGGGGCUCAACCCCGGGUCGGCCGUGCGAACUGGCGUGCUCGAGCACUGUAGAGGCGGGCGGAAUUCCGGGUGUAGCGGUGGAAUGCGUAGAGAUCCGGAAGAACACCGGUGGCGAAGGCGGCCCGCUGGGCAGUCUGCUGACGCUGAGGCGCGACAGCGUGGGGAGCAAACAGGAUUAGAUACCCUAGUAGUCC
rnacentral:rRNA from 1 species